GAUGAACGCUGGCGGCGUGCCUAACACAUGCAAGUCGAGCGAACCCUUCGGGGUGAGCGGCGGACGGGUGAGUAACGCGUGGGUAACCUGCCCUAUACACACGGAUAACGUACCGAAAGGUACGCUAAUACGGGAUAAAGUUGUUGGAUGGCAUCUUCUAACAAUCAAAGCUCCGGCGGUAUAGGAUGGACCCGCGUCUGAUUAGCUAGUUGGAGAGGUAAUGGCUCACCAAGGCGACGAUCAGUAGCCGACCUGAGAGGGUGAUCGGCCACACUGGAACUGAGACACGGUCCAGACUCCUACGGGAGGCAGCAGUGGGGAAUAUUGCACAAUGGGCGAAAGCCUGAUGCAGCAACGCCGCGUGAGCGAUGAAGGUCUUCGGAUCGUAAAGCUCUGUCCUCAAGGAAGAUAAUGACGGUACUUGAGGAGGAAGCCCCGGCUAACUACGUGCCAGCCGCCGCCGUAA
rnacentral:rRNA from 1 species